rnacentral:misc_RNA from 1 species
CGUGAUCCAAUGUCAUUGGCAAUGACCGAGUCCGAAAGGGCAGUCUCAAAAUUGUCGGUACUAUUAAUGAAAUUACAAGAGGCUCUUGUCUUUCAGCCUGUGUUUAAACGAUAGGGAUGCCGUCGAAUCACUGAACCUAUUUAUAAAUUCCCUAGGCAUUGGCUCUCUCAAGAGUAAUUGGAUUCACACGCGCAUGUACAUGUAGUGUGAAGUAGAUUUCCUCGUGCAGUAGAUACAAAAUAGCAGCAUUGUUGCAGUGUUCCGAUCCCCAUUCGAACCACAACACGUUAGUUUGAAUACAUCAUAGUAUUUCAUUUGCCAGUCAUUAAAAGUAUACGUUUUUUAUGAGCGAAUGUGUGUUUUCUUUCUAUCCACAAAGUUCUUUCUUUGUUCCCCUGGCUAAAGUUUAAGUGGGUUGUUUCCAGUUUUCGAUCACAUGUGAAAAAAAAUAUGCACGGAUAAAUUAUGAAACCAGUCAAGUCUUGAUUAGUGUUUAUGAUAUUCAGCUCAACCGUUUUCCUGUAUCACAAGUUUUGAAUUGCACCAGUGUUCCUAUAGUUUGUUGUAGCUACAGCCUUAAAAAAAUUCACAUGGGUGAUAGUCAUGACUGGAGACCAUUUAUCUAUGGAGGUUUCUCAUCUUGUACAGCUGAAUUUGGUACAUUCCCAAUUGAUACUACCAAAACAAGGCUUCAGAUUCAAGGCCAGAAGUUGGAUGGAAGAUUUACAGUUGUUCGCUACAAUGGCAUGUUUCACGCAUUGUCAAGAAUCACCAGGGAAGAAGGUGUCAGGGCUUUGUAUUCAGGCAUUUGGCCAGCACUUUUAAGACAAUCCACAUAUGGAACUAUCAAGUUUGGGAUUUACUAUACCCUCAAAAAGUGGAUUGAUCAUCCUGAAGUUGAAGACAUGAUGACAAACAUAUUUUGUGGUGUUAUUGCUGGUGUGGUUUCAAGUGCCAUAGCCAAUCCAACAGAUGUAUUGAAAGUAAGGAUGCAAGCAUGCUCAACCUCCCUGCAGCAAAAGUCAAUGUUUGAGUGCUUUGGAGAUGUAUACAGACAAGAAGGAAUAUCUGGUUUGUGGCGGGGAGUUGGUCCAACCGCACAGAGAGCAGCCGUGAUAACGGCUGUGGAAUUGCCCAUUUACGAUAUCUGUAAGCAUCGGUUAAUACAGGGUAAUGUAAUGGGCGAUACAGUCUCAAAUCACUUUGUGUCAAGCUUUAUAUCAAGUUUGGGUGGUGCAGUCGCCUCAACUCCAAUUGACGUCGUUCGUGUUCGGCUGAUGAAUCAACGACGCCUUAAAUCUGGAGUACGAUUCGGGUUCGGCAUGAGCAGUGAUUUUUCUCUUCACAAAUCUCGACUCUAUCGUGGAACUUUAGAUUGUUUUGUACAGACCGUCCGACACGAAGGUAUCAUGGCUCUCUAUCGUGGUUUUAUUCCAACUUGGUUGCGUAUGGGCCCGUGGAACGUGAUUUUCUUUAUUACGUACGAACAGCUGAAAAAGUUGUACUAAUCGAAAGCUGAUCUGGUCGUCGAGUCAACAAGAACAAUUCAAAAUUGUUUCCCGAAUUUCCCUUCUGACUGACGCAUCCGUAUAUCAAUCAAAUGGCGAGUAUUAAGUCGACCUAGUGUCGCCUCAACGAGCUCAUAGAUCGUCUGUCAGUAUCCGGGCACCGGGCUUUGGCAGAACUUUACUUGUAGGCUACUUCAGUUAAUAUCGAGAGGGAUUUCCACUUCAGUUUAAAUUAUUUUUGAAGUCAGUUAAAGUAGGCUACAUUUUUUUAAUGAGCGAAUGUGUCCUUUCUUUCUUCUUACCAAGUCCCUCUUUGUUCUCCGUGCUAAAAUAUUGAGUGGAUUGUUUUCUUUUAAAUUAUAUGAACAAAAAUAUGUACAGAUAAAUUAAGGAAGUGCUCAUUAGAUGUAUUUAUCAGAAUCAGAUAGUCAGCUCAACUGAUUUUCUGCCCCAUCUCUUUAGAUUUGUAAAUGUAAGUCUUU